rnacentral:rRNA from 1 species
ACGGAAGGCAGCAGUGGGGAAUAUUGCACAAUGGGCGAAAGCCUGAUGCAGCGACGCCGCGUGAGCGAAGAAGUAUUUCGGUAUGUAAAGCUCUAUCAGCAGGGAAGAUAAUGACGGUACCUGACUAAGAAGCACCGGCUAAAUACGUGCCAGCAGCCGCGGUAAUACGUAUGGUGCAAGCGUUAUCCGGAUUUACUGGGUGUAAAGGGAGCGUAGGCGGUUUUACAAGUCUGAUGUGAAAGCCCGGGGCUCAACUCCGGUAUUGCAUUGGAAACUGUAGAACUAGAGUGUCGUAGGGGUAAGUGGAAUUCCUAGUGUAGCGGUGAAAUGCGUAGAUAUUAGGAGGAACACCAGUGGCGAAGGCGGCUUACUGGACGAUUACUGACGCUGAGGCUCGAAAGCGUGGGGAGCAAACAGGAUUAGAUACCCUGGUA